rnacentral:rRNA from 1 species
UACGUAGGGGGCAAGCGUUGUCCGGAUUCAUUGGGCGUAAAGAGCGUGUAGGCGGCCAGGUAGGUCGGUUGUGAAAACUGGAGGCUCAACCUUCAGAGGUCGACCGAAACCAUCUGGCUAGAGUCCGGGAGAGGAGAGUGGAAUUCCCGGUGUAGCGGUGAAAUGCGCAGAUAUCGAGAGGAACACCCUGCGGCGAAGGCGGGUUGCUGGGCCGACACUGACGCUGAUGCGCGAAAGCCAGGGAGGCGAACGGG